GUUUAAACCCUCCAAAUACGUUAAGUAAGUUACAUUUGAAUAUAACUAAAAAAUUUGGAUAUUUAUAUUAAACAAAUAAACUUUUAAAACUAAAUUUUUUGACUUAAUUCGCAAGAAUUGAGCAUUCUUUUACACGCAAAAGAUCGGAUGUCUGGCUCUUUAGUUUGAUAGUUUACGAUAGUAAAAUAGCAGUUAGCAGAUGGACAUCCGACUGACCCUGUUAUGCCCAAUCUGCCACGUGCUUGAAGAAACGAUUCAUUGUCGGCUUGGUUUUGUGACCGUCACCAAAACUUACGCCAUCUGUGAGGUUACUCACCCAGUGACGUGUCGCGUACUAUGGGGGAUGAGUAAUGUUAGGGGAAAGCCCAAAAAGGGGGCAGAAAGAGGCGAUCGUACUUCGCCCCACCAGGUAGGCAGCUGGAUUCCCAUUGUUCCUGGUCUUGUCUGUCAGAAUCUCCACAAUGGGACUCCUCUUUUCCGAGCAAAAUGAAACGUUAGACAAAGAACCGAACCUGACUCAUUGAGAAACUGAAUUUGUUUACUUCAUUCCCGAAUUUCUCGAUUUUUUAAAGGGUCCGAAACCCAACUAUUCUACACUAACUCGAGUCGUC
rnacentral:lncRNA from 1 species